CUUCCAUCCUCUGGGGGGACCACCUGGAUAAUACACGCCCCAGAGCCCAUUUGUCCUGCUGGUUUUCUUUUAUUAAUUUAAAUUUUUAAAUAACUGGGGAAAAAAUGACGUGUUCAAGUCAACUCCUUUGCAGCCUGGCUUUUACACUAAUACUGUGAUGGGAUAACCCACAGCAUAUGGAAAGAGAAAACAAAACGACCCGGGCUGAAAAAACGAUCAACACCUUCUGUAGGACAGACAGUGGACAAAGUGCUCAGCGACUGGCCAUCGUGGCCACAGCCUGAAUGAGAAGAACUCCUGCCCUGAGGCCACUGGGGGCCUGGGGUGGGCUCCUGGGGUCACAGAGACCAGGGGGCAUUGGAGAGAUGAGGAGCUGGAAUCAGACUCCGGGCCUGAAGCACAGACUGGAAUAAGUCUGUACAGACCUGCCUCCUGGGAUGCUCUCCGGAAACUGGUCCCUGGAGGCAAGGCACAAGGGAGCUUCCGCAGAAAUCGGAGAAACCAAGCACCUGGGCUGAGGAUUUCCCAAGGAGGGCAGGACAGGGGCCUCGAAUGUCAAAGUUAGACCUGGCUCUGGAUGGGGAGCAGGGGUCAGGGAGGAGGCAGCCACGGAAAUCCACAGCUCCAGGACAGCCUCUCCUAGGGUUUUGCCUGGGAUCUUAUUCCACCGUGAAAAGGAGUGAAGCACUGAUGCCGGCUACAACGUGGGUGAAACUUGAGAAGUCAUGCCACGUGAAAGAAGCCAGUCACAAGGCUGCAUAUUGCAUGAUUCCGUUUGUAUCAAAUGUCCACAAUAGGCAAAUCACAGAUUCCUGGUUGCCUUGAGUUGUGUGGCUGGGGGGAGCCGGCGGGAUAUCUGAGGGACAGCUGAACGGGACAGGGUUUCUUUCUGAG
rnacentral:lncRNA from 1 species